CCGCGCCCCGCACUCGCGAGGU
rnacentral:miRNA from 1 species